AACGAACGCUGGCGGCAUGCCUAACACAUGCAAGUCGAACGAGACCUUCGGGUCUAGUGGCGCACGGGUGCGUAACGCGUGGGAACCUGCCCUUAGGUUCGGAAUAACUCCCCGAAAGGGGUGCUAAUACCGGAUAAUGUCUUCGGACCAAAGAUUUAUCGCCUUUGGAUGGGCCCGCGUUGGAUUAGCUAGUUGGUAGGGUAAAAGCCUACCAAGGCGACGAUCCACAGCUGGUCUGAGAGGAUGAUCAGCCACACUGGGACUGAGACACGGCCCAGACUCCUACGGAAGGCAGCAGUGGGGAAUAUUGGACAAUGGGCGAAAGCCUGAUCCAGCAAUGCCGCGUGAGUGAUGAAGGCCUUAGGGUUGUAAAGCUCUUUUACCCGGGAUGAUAAUGACAGUACCGGGAGAAUAAGCUCCGGCUAACUCCG
rnacentral:rRNA from 1 species